rnacentral:lncRNA from 1 species
UAAUUUUUCCUUUCUCCUUACCAAGUUCAAUUGGGCUUAGGCCAUUAAUCCCACUAUUUUUCUCUUCACGCCCCUAUUUUGCUUAGGCUACCCUUUGCUGAACCCAACAACAACACCUUGUGUUUGGGACUUAUAUUUUAUACCCAAAGCCUCUAUUUGCAGACUGCACACUCCCUGGCUUAUGCACCCCUGCAGAUUUAAUUGCUUUUCUUUUAUUUCUUGUUUUUUAUCAUUCUUUUGUUAAUUUUUCUUAUGCUU